rnacentral:siRNA from 1 species
CUACUUGGGUUGAUUUAAAGUGA